rnacentral:rRNA from 1 species
ACACGACUACAUUAGAUACCCGUGUAGUCCUAGCCGUAAACGAUACUCGCUAGGUGUCGGCCACGGUGCGACCGUUGUCGGUGCCGUAGGGAAGCCGUGAAGCGAGCCACCUGGGAAGUACGGCCGCAAGGCUGAAACUUAAAGGAAUUGGCGGGGAGCACAACAACGGGUGGAGCUUGCGGUUUAAUUGGAUUCAACGCCGGAAAUCUUACCGGGACCGACAGCAACAUGAAGGCCAGGCUGAAGACUUUGCCGGAUUAGCUG